UCAAUCUGAAUCAAGCAAAUCAGCUACCAGCCUGCCAGUGAGUCCUGAAUGUGCAAUCUGAAUUGAUUAGAUGGCUCAUGAUGAACUUAUCGUCGGACAUGUUGGAUCGGUAUGUUCAUCACAUUUGCUCCCUUUAAUUAGCUUUAGGCACAAUUGUGCUGCAUCAUUGGUGGCUUAUCGAUUGAUAUGUACAUGCAAGUAAGAAGUGACUUGGAAAGUAUUUGUUGCCUAUACGGAUGGGUCUCAAGAUCUACACUCGUGGGUUCUACUGUUGACAAGAACUAAUGCACUGUUUACAAGAAUAUUAGCAGGAUUCUGCAUAUUUCCUUCACCAAUCACUACUACCCGUAUCAACCUAAGACUAUCAUGUUUUCCUUUUUCCUUGCACCUGUUUCUGAUAGUUAGAAGUGACAUUUUUAAGUGCUUGUUGAUACAGACCAUUCGUUUAUAUUCAUUUUCAUAAAAAAAAGAAUUCAGUUAUAUCCAAGUUUUCAAAUUUUCAAGCAGGGGUAUCCUUGUUCCUCGCUGACCUCGGGCUCGGCUAAUGGUCGAACGGAUGCACCAGGGAGAAAAGAAGGCGACACAACACACCACAAGGACAGCAUAGUGGGUAGGCAGACCAGCUAUGUUCUUGUACACGAACAGGAGAAGCACCACUGAGCCGGCCGGCCGGCCAGCCAACCGCAGCGGAGUGGAGGAAAAAAAAUCUGACCAAUCAAGGUUGUGCAGAAUGUUAACACUGCAUAGAUAAAGUUCCUCUUGAUUUCGAGGGCUGGAGUAUGUCCAUUGAUGAUUCAAGGGACAAUUAAAACCCUUCCUGUGCUGAUGCAGUUUUGCAUGAUGCUGAAGCGGUAGAUCGGCCGAUCUGUGACUUGCUGGGUGGUAAGGACAGCUAAAAAAAUCUCAGAGGGAUAUGAAGUGAAUCAGUGGCUCAAAGUUGCCAUCGUCUGGGCUUGUGCAGCACCUGGUAUCUCGCAUUGCCGUAAGAGCGACCUAACAUGAAAUACUGCACACAGUCAUCUCAUUUGCAGGACAGCGACACAGUGUAAUGCUCUUCACUGCACACACUCAGCUCAUCUGCAGGAGGACAGUGGCACAGUGUACUGCUCUUUCGCCUCCCACUCAGCAAGUCAUGCAACAGCGCCAUGUGCUUGCGAUGAAAGCCCAUCGCUGCCCACUAAUGGCCGAGGUGAUCGUCGCGUUUCUACAUCCGCAUCAUUGGUUGCUCGGACGGAGGCCAUGGGGCGCCUGGAGCCAAAGCUGCGUAGCCCAUGUUCUCCUUGACUCCUUGGAUUUCGUUUGCAAGCAGGAAAGGUAUUGUUUGCACUUUGCAGCUCUGCACUGUGUUAUUCGUUUCCUUAUCUUCUUUCUUUUCACGAGUAGAAUUCUGCUUUGGAAUAAAUCUAUUUUGCCUCUCUCCUAAUUGAAUCGCCUCACAAAAUCACAAAAUCGGAUAUAACGUUUUCCUCAUCUUCGAAAGCUGGUGAAAACUGUCAUCCUUCCUGCCUCUAAUGCUGCUGGAAGAUGAGAUAGGAGGAAAAUGGAAGAGAGGAUUGAUAGAGGGGAAAAGAUAAGGAGAAAGUUGUUGACAUAUGGGUCCCACUCAUUACUCAACGAGUCAACCGAGGUUAACUUGUUACUACGUCAGUAGAAACCGUUUCCAAACCAUCGAAGGAGCUGAUUUGUAGUUGAGAGAGGCUAAGGAGCUGAUUUGUUAUAUUCGGUUUUAUAGUUGAGAGAGGCUACUGCUGGGUGGUAACUACUGUCCUCCUGUCAUGGACAAGCAGAGGGAUGUGACAAUCAGUAGCUCAAGUUACGCCAUCGUCUGGGCUUGUGCUACACAUAUAGCGUUGCGCGGUGUGUAACGUGUGUUAGGCCGACUAGUGUAGUCCUCUUCAUUGCACACUCAGCACAUUUGCAGGACAGCGCCAGUGUAAUGCUCUUGACUGCACACUCAGCUCAUCUGCAGAAGGAUAGAGACACAGUGUACUGCUCUUUCGCUUCCCACUCAGCAAGUCAUGCAACAGCUCAUGAAAAUAUGCAGUGCAAAUCACAUAUGCAAUGGAAAUCUGGAGACUACGUUGGAUCCAAAUAUGAGUGUUUUAGAUUUGUUCGUGUCACCAAGAAUAAAACUUUUACUCGUGGUUAAAUCUAAGAGUAAAUCUAGGAAAAAUAUGUAGUGCAAAUCACAUAUACAGUGGAAAUAUAAAAACUAUCAUUAGACUAAAAUGGACGCCUACAAUUUAUCAAUGCCAACAAUAGAAAAACUUAUAGGCGUCCAUUUUAGUCUAAGAUAGUUUUCAUAUUUCCACUAUAUAUGUGAUUUGAACUACAUAUUUUCCCAAACAACACCAUACUUUUGCGAUGAAGCCCACCUGUACCCACUAACGGCCGAGGAUAUUGUCUCUGUUCUACUACCUUCGUCCUAGAAAAAGACAAACCCUGAGUUUCCGUGUCCAACGUUUGACAGUUCGUCUUAUAUGAAAUUUUUUUUAUAAUUAAUAUUUUUAGUGUUGUUGGAUGAUAAAACAU